CGGCACCGGCACCGCACCGGCACCGGCACCGCACCGGCACCGGCGCCGCGCCGGCAGCGCACCGGCACCGCGCCGGCGGGGCGGCUCUGCCUCGGGGGCGUCGUGUCGGGUUAAGGUCAGGGCUUGCUCCAGAGCGGGGGUGGUCUCUGCCCCGCCGACACGGGCUGACACAGCAGCGCGGUUAGGCUGAAGGUUAGGCUUGGGGUUAGGGAGCGGUUUAGGUUUAGCUGCAGUGCCUGGGCUGGCGAGGGUUGUCCUCAGGGUCGGCACUGGCACUGGCACUGGCAGCGGAGCCCGUGUGUGUCCCCUGGCGUGGGGUGGGACACUGUCUGGGUGCUCCUGACACAGCCUGGAUGUGUUCUGGCCAGGUGUGGCGACAGCAGCGUGGGGGAGACUGUAUCCCACGCCCCCACAGAGCUCCGUGUGCACCUGCAUGUACAGACUGACCACCCAACAGCCUGCACACACCCCCCGAGCUGCCCCAGGACGCACACUGCCCCUACACGCACUGCCAGCUGCCACCUACACGUCCUCGCACACGCACAUGCUGUCCCUGUUCAGCCCUCUGCCAUCCAACACAUCCCUGUGCAAGGCUGCCCCACUGCACUCCCUGCUCUCGUUCCUCAGCACACCCCACAGUGUGUGUCCUCUUCAGCCCCUGCUCCCUGAGCCACAGUCACGUCUGUUUGCCAGCAGAGCCCGGGGCUGCCCUGCCCCAGCCCCUUCUCCUGCCCUGUGUGUGCUGGCCCUGGGGCCCUGGGGCACUGGGGGACCCUGACUUCUGGGCAGGGAGGACACUGGGCAGAGCCACGGGAUCAGCACUGCUGCAAGUGCUUUGGGAAGACACGAGGGACCACAGUGGACUGUGCUGAGCCCUGUGUGCUCCAAAUGAUGCGAUGAAGCCUCUGCAGGAAGGAGUUGGUGCAAACACAGGGAAAGGGACAGAUGCUGACCUGGCAUAUGACUGAGCCCCUGGAGGAGGAUUUAAAGAGCUGCCCAGGAAGGGGUGAUAUCCCAGAGCCUGGCGGCAGGGCUGGGCUGUGGAUGGGCCUCCUUCACCCUCGUUGAGUUUCCACUCCUGUGCUCACUCACCUUGAAGUUCACGGGGUCCACCCUGAGGAUGUAAGCAUGCAGCUCGCUGAGCUUGACCAAGGCCCUUCGGAUGUCAUCAAUGUUCUUCACAGCUUCCCCGAUGGCACUCAUGACCUUGGAGCCGUGGCCGCGGAGCUGA